UACGGAGGGGGCAAGCGUUAUUCGGAAUUAUUGGGCGUAAAGGGCGCGUAGGCGGCUAGAUGUGUCAAAGGUGAAAUCCCUCGGCUCAACUGAGGAACUGCCUUUGAAACUGUCUGGCUUGAGGCCGGGAGAGGGUAGCGGAAUUCCCAGUGUAGCGGUGAAAUGCGUAGAUAUUGGGAGGAACACCAGUGGCGAAGGCGGCUACCUGGACCGGUUCUGACGCUGAGGCGCGAAAGCGUGGGGAGCAAACAGG
rnacentral:rRNA from 1 species